UUGUUCUUAUCCCUUACUUAAGCCGUAUUACCUUCCCAGACCAGCACAGGACUGCCUCAUCUGCUGUCCAUGCUGAGGGUAUCAGCCAUCUCCUGGUGAUUAACAGAGUGAUGCAAUGAGAGUUAUUAAAAGUGACGAUUAUCUGGCUGCGGCUUCUGCUCAAUGAAGCACAGAUGCCCAGUGCAGAAGAAAUGAAGAAACAAACUUCUGGUAAACCUG